rnacentral:rRNA from 1 species
GUGUCAGCAGCCGCGGUAAUACGUAGGGGGCAAGCGUUGUCCGGAAUCAUUGGGCGUAAAGAGCGCGUAGGCGGUCCGGUAAGUCCGCUGUGAAAGUCAAGGGCUCAACCCUUGAAUGCCGGUGGAUACUGUCGGGCUAGAGUCCGGAAGAGGCGAGUGGAAUUCCUGGUGUAGCGGUGAAAUGCGCAGAUAUCAGGAGGAACACCAAUGGCGAAGGCAGCUCGCUGGGACGGUACUGACGCUGAGGCGCGAAAGCGUGGGGAGCAAACAGGAUUAGAUACCCUGGUAGUCC